UACGGUGCUGAAGCAACAAAUGCCCUGCUUCCAGGAAAAGCCUCUAAGCAUCAGGUAACAUCAAAUCGUACCCCAAACCGACACAGGUGGUCAGGUAGAGAAUACCAAGGCGCUUGAGAGAACUCGGGUGAAGGAACUAGGCAAAAUGGUGCCGUAACUUCGGGAGAAGGCACGCUGACACGUAGGUGAAGUGAUUUACUCAUGGAGCUGAAGUCAGUCGAAGAUACCAGCUGGCUGCAACUGUUUAUUAAAAACACAGCACUGUGCAAACACGAAAGUGGACGUAUACGGUGUGACGCCUGCCCGGUGCCGGAAGGUUAAUUGAUGGGGUCAGCGCAAGCGAAGCUCCUGAUCGAAGCCCCGGUAAACGGCGGCCGUAACUAUAACGGUCCUAAGGUAGCGAAAUUCCUUGUCGGGUAAGUUCCGACCUGCACGAAUGGCGUAAUGAUGGCCAGGCUGUCUCCACCCGAGACUCAGUGAAAUUGAACUCGCUGUGAAGAUGCAGUGUACCCGCGGCAAGACGGAAAGACCCCGUGAACCUUUACUAUAGCUUGACACUGAACAUUGAGCCUUGAUGUGUAGGAUAGGUGGGAGGCUUUGAAGUGUGGACGCCAGUCUGCAUGGAGCCGACCUUGAAAUACCACCCUUUAAUGUUUGAUGUUCUAACGUGGACCCGUGAUCCGGGUUGCGGACAGUGUCUGGUGGGUAGUUUGACUGGGGCGGUCUCCUCCUAAAGAGUAACGGAGGAGCACGAAGGUUGGCUAAUCCUGGUCGGACAUCAGGAGGUUAGUGCAAUGGCAUAAGCCAGCUUGACUGCGAGCGUGACGGCGCGAGCAGGUGCGAAAGCAGGUCAUAGUGAUCCGGUGGUUCUGAAUGGAAGGGCCAUCGCUCAACGGAUAAAAGGUACUCCGGGGAUAACAGGCUGAUACCGCCCAAGAGUUCAUAUCGACGGCGGUGUUUGGCACCUCGAUGUCGGCUCAUCACAUCCUGGGGCUGAAGUAGGUCCCAAGGGUAUGGCUGUUCGCCAUUUAAAGUGGUACGCGAGCUGGGUUUAGAACGUCGUGAGACAGUUCGGUCCCUAUCUGCCGUGGGCGCUGGAGAACUGAGGGGGGCUGCUCCUAGUACGAGAGGACCGGAGUGGACGCAUCACUGGUGUUCGGGUUGUCAUGCCAAUGGCACUGCCCGGUAGCUAAAUGCGGAAGAGAUAAGUGCUGAAAGCAUCUAAGCACGAAACUUGCCCCGAGAUGAGUUCUCCCUGAGACUUAAAGUCUCCUGAAGGAACGUUGAAGACGACGACGUUGAUAGGCCGGGUGUGUAAGCGCAGCGAUGCGUUGAGCUAACCGGUACUAAUGAACCGUGAGGCUUAACCUUACAACGCCG
rnacentral:rRNA from 1 species